rnacentral:rRNA from 1 species
AACGAACGUUAGCGGCACGCUUAACACAUGCAAGUCGAGCGAGAAUCCCUUCGGGGAGGACAGCGGCGCACGGGUGAGUAACACGUAGAUAAUCUACCCCCGAGUGGUGGAUAACGUUCC